rnacentral:rRNA from 1 species
ACCUACGGGAGGAGCAGUAGGGAAUCUUCGGCAAUGGGCGAAAGCCUGACCGAGCAACGCCGCGUGAAUGAAGAAGGCCUUCGGGUUGUAAAAUUCUGUUAUAAGGGAAGAAAGGUGAUAGGAGGAAAUGACUAUCAAUUGACGGUACCUUAUGAGAAAGCCACGGCUAACUACGUGCCAACAGCCGCGGUAAUACGUAGGUGGCAAGCGUUAUCCGGAUUUAUUGGGUGUAAAGGGCGUGUAGGCGGGAGCGCAAGUCAGAUGUGAAAACUCAGGGCUCAACCCUGAGCCUGCAUUUGAAACUG